ensembl:lncRNA
UGGAUAUGGCAGGCACUUGAUCCACUUCCAAGUCUAACGUGCGGAACACUGUGGAAACAUCAAGCACCAAAACCAGCUGUUUGGUUAGAAUAUUCUCCCCCUUCCCCCGACUCCUCCUCUUCCUUACAACCCAGAAAAUACAUUAAAAAGCAGAGAAAGGAGUAAUACGGUAGCAAUAUGUUUGGAACGGAGGGCGAUAUCACUUAUUGAGAAGCAUAUAAAACUAUGGUGAGAGAGUGUGAAAGAGAGGAAAAGAGGCAAACAGACAGAGAGAGAGAGUGAGAGAGAGAGAGAGGGGCGAAGAGAGAGAGAGAGAGGCGAAGAGAGAAAGAGAGAGAGAGAGGGGCGAAGAGAGAGAGAGAGAGAGAGGGGCGAAGAGAGAGAGAGAGAGAGGGGCGAAGAGAGAAAGAGAGAGAGAGAGGGGCGAAGAGAGAGAGAGAGAGAGAGAGGGGCGAAGAGAGAAAGAGGAGAGAGAGGGGCGAAGAGAGAAAGAGAGAGAGGGG